CAAUAGCGUAUAUUAAAGUUGUUGCGGUUAAAAAGCUCGUAGUUGGAUUUCUGCCGAGGACGACCGGUCCGCCCUCCGGGUGAGUAUCUGGUUUGGCCUGGGCAUCUUCUUGGAGAACGUAGCUGCACUUGACUGUGUGGUGCGGUGUCCAGGACUUUUACUUUGAGGAAAUUAGAGUGUUUCAAGCAGGCACACGCCUUGAAUACAUUAGCAUGGAAUAAUAAGAUAGGACCUCGGUUCUAUUUUGUUGGUUUCUAGAGCUGAGGUAAUGAUUAAUAGGGAUAGUUGGGGGCAUUCGUAUUUAACUGUCAGAGGUGAAAUUCUGGGAUUUGUUAAAGACGGACUACUGCGAAAGCAUUUGCCAAGGAUGUUUUCAUUGA
rnacentral:rRNA from 1 species